GUUUGGUUGGUUGGUUUUAUUGGCAAGCAUCAAUGCCGCAUUACCCGUCGCUUUCCAGUCUUCAUCGUGCUGCCGUGAGACCACUGGAAAGCACAGCAUUGUCUGCACAAGGCUGGGACUGCUCCUUCACCACAGGGUCUGCAAGAAAGCAGGAGGAAAGUCAGGCAAUCAGGGUGGUGAGUGCUGAGAGAAGCCCAUGGCAAACCCACCCUUUCAACGGAAAGAGAGACAGACUGAUGGGCAAGCCAGGGUCAGGGGGGCAACAGGAGAGACGGAAAUCACGGAAUUCCAGCCAUAUAAAAACCAAACACUGAAAAAUGAUCAGGGAAAUUGUUAUUGCAGUCAACUCUUACCCUUCCUCGGAGUACAGACUCAAUGCUAAGAGGCAUAGAAACUCUAAUUUCCCACUGUUCAAAUUUCUACAUUUAUUUUCUUUCAAUAUUAAUAUCAUCUCUAACCCCUAAUUUCUUCAAAGCAUGUAGAAUAACAAGCACUUCAAAGGAAAGGUGAGUAAAAAGAGCCAUCAGAAGACCUAUCCAUUUUAAGCAACCGUAGUUUGAAAUUUUUUAAAUUGAAGUAUGACAUAUAUUCAGAAAAGCAGAAAGAUCAUUAAUGACAUGUCAUAAACAUCAGUAUUCCUAAUUUGAUCUAACUCGGGUAAAAACAGCUUUCUGUGCCAGACACUGGGGCGGGGACAUCUGAGUUUCCUGGGGCUGAGGUCUAGAAGGCUGAAGGCUUUUCCAUUUGCGGUCUCCCUUAUGCAUAUGGGCCACAGGCUCAAGACUACAGCGACACAUUCUUCAGGCAAGAAUUUAGUUCAUCUCCAGAGGAAAUCAAAGGAGAGGGAAAGACAGCAUGUUUGUUAAGCCAGAGACAACGACUUUAAGGGGUGAACGUUUCCCUCUUGAUUCAGAAAGCGACUGAGGUAAGUCUCUCAACCUCCCUGCUCCCCAGGAAGGAGACUGAUAAUAGGAGGAAGUUUAUUUGAAACACACGUUAUCAGAGGAAAGAACCAUACACAUGCAGAAGAAUAAGCAAACACGCAAAGUGAAUCCACACACACUUCUAAGUGAGCAGUUCAGUCAAGAUUUCAGUGAGGCCUCUCCACACUUACUUCCCUUUCCUCAAAUUCCUUUCGUCCAUCCAUCUGUUCAUCUCCUUCUUUCAAAACAUACAAUAGUUAUCUUACUACUUUUAACUAAUUACUAGUUUUCUGAGGGGAGAAAUAAUCUUCAAUUAGGUUUCCACACAAAUAUAUGUAUGUUUAAAAAGAAAUUUUAGAAACUUGCGAUCUAUUAACUCAGGGUAACAGGGAGUAGUCAAACAGCUUGAACUCCGGGGAGAUACAUUCAGUGAAUAAGCAAACACCUUUGGUGAUCAAGAAACGGAUCUGCAAAGUUGUCUCAAUCAUCUACGAUAAAUGAGGCCAAAUUCUAGGAAUAAUCCAAUCCAAAUACCCUAGAAUUCUCCUGACUGGUCUCAAAGACAAAGAGUGGAAGAUUUGUUCUCUUGACUGAAUUACUCCCUGAACACAGUCCCUGGAGACUCACAGAAGUAUGGGUGCUCCAUGGCCUCUUUGGCAGUCAGUCUCUGUUGAUGGUCGUAUCGCAGAAGUUUGUCCAGAAGAUCUAGGGCCUCAGGGCUGACAAGGUGUCUGUUCUCACUAUGGAUAAAGUUUUCCCAGCGUUUCCGUGAAUGUCUGAGAAGAAAAAUGAAGCAUUAGUAACCAGAGACUAAAUUCAACAAGAAUCCUUAUCUACUAGGGCUAAAGCCAACAAAAUCUCAGAAUAAUGUACUGAUUACAAGCUUGUUAAAUCUCUAACUGGUGCCUGCCCUACGGCCCCAUAGUUACAGCAUAGCAUCCUGAAACACAAUGGUGCUCUGUGAUUAGAAAAAUACAACUAGGUAAAACUUCUAUAUCUCAUUUAGAAUAUGUGGAACCUUUCUAGAUUAUUUUUUAUGCUGUAGACUUUUAGUCAAUUCUGGGUGGCAUGCAGAAGAGUGGGCAAUUUUUAUUGGUCAGCAGAUAUAUUUCCCAGGGCUAGCCUCAGAAACAGGGAGGUUCCAUAAAAUACUGUUUGAAAACUGUUAACAAAAUGUUUACUUCUCAACAUUAUUGCAAUGUACCUGAAAACUCAAUGUGCUUUAAAAUUUGCUAUUGUAUAGAAAAUCCAUUACAGAGAACAAGAAGAAAUUGUAAGUCCACCUUGAAGAGAUAUGAAGUAAAUAAAAUAAAAUAUAAUAAAA
rnacentral:lncRNA from 1 species